rnacentral:rRNA from 1 species
GUACAAGCAGUGGGAGCACGCUUAGGCGUGUGACUGCGUACCUUUUGUAUAAUGGGUCAGCGACUUAUAUUCUGUAGCAAGGUUAACCGAAUAGGGGAGCCGAAGGGAAACCGAGUCUUAACUGGGCGUUAAGUUGCAGGGUAUAGACCCGAAACCCGGUGAUCUAGCCAUGGGCAGGUUGAAGGUUGGGUAACACUAACUGGAGGACCGAACCGACUAAUGUUGAAAAAUUAGCGGAUGACUUGUGGCUGGGGGUGAAAGGCCAAUCAAACCGGGAGAUAGCUGGUUCUCCCCGAAAGCUAUUUAGGUAGCGCCUCGUGAAUUCAUCUCCGGGGGUAGAGCACUGUUUCGGCAAGGGGGUCAUCCCGACUUACCAACCCGAUGCAAACUGCGAAUACCGGAGAAUGUUAUCACGGGAGACACACGGCGGGUGCUAACGUCCGUCGUGAAGAGGGAAACAACCCAGACCGCCAGCUAAGGUCCCAAAGUCAUGGUUAAGUGGGAAACGAUGUGGGAAGGCCCAGACAGCCAGGAUGUUGGCUUAGAAGCAGCCAUCAUUUAAAGAAAGCGUAAUAGCUCACUGGUCGAGUCGGCCUGCGCGGAAGAUGUAACGGGGCUAAACCAUGCAC